rnacentral:rRNA from 1 species
UAGGGAAUCUUCCGCAAUGGGCGAAAGCCUGACGGAGCAACGCCGCGUGAGUGAUGAAGGUCUUCGGAUCGUAAAACUCUGUUAUUAGGGAAGAACAAAUGUGUAAGUAACUAUGCACGUCUUGACGGUACCUAAUCAGAAAGCCACGGCUAACUACGUGCCAGCAGCCGCGGUAAUACGUAGGUGGCAAGCGUUAUCCGGAAUUAUUGGGCGUAAAGCGCGCGUAGGCGGUUUUUUAAGUCUGAUGUGAAAGCCCACGGCUCAACCGUGGAGGGUGAUUGAAAACUGGAAAACUGGAGUGAAGAAGAGGAGAAUGGAGUUCCAGGUGUGGCGGGGAAAUGCGAGGGGAUAUGGAGGACCACCAGUGGCGAAGGGGACUUUCUGGUCGGUAACUGACGCUGGUGUGCGAAAGCGUGGGGAUCAAACAGG